UGGGGAAUAUUGGACAAUGGGGGAAACCCUGAUCCAGCGAUGCCGCGUGAGUGAUGAAGGCCUUCGGGUUGUAAAGCUCUUUUGCACGCGACGAUGAUGACGGUAGCGUGAGAAUAAGCCCCGGCUAACUCUGUGCCAGCAGCCGCGGUAAUACAGAGGGGGCUAGCGUUGUUCGGAAUGACUGGGCGUAAAGGGCGCGUAGGUGGCUCUACAAGUCAGAUGUGAAAGGCCUAGGCUUAACCUGGGGAUGGCAUUUGAGACUGUAAAGCUUGAGUCCGGGAGAGGAUAGCGGAAUUCCUAGUGUAGAGGUGAAAUUCGUAGAUAUUAGGAAGAACACCGGUGGCGAAGGCGGCUAUCUGGAACGGAACUGACACUGAGGCGCGAAAGCGUGGGGAGCAAACAG
rnacentral:rRNA from 1 species